rnacentral:rRNA from 1 species
CAGCAGUAAGGAAUAUUGGUCAAUGGACGCAAGUCUGAACCAGCCAUGCCGCGUGGAGGAUGAAGGUCCUCUGGAUUGUAAACUUCUUUUAUUUGGGAAGAAAUGUGGUUUUUCUAAAUCAUUUGACGGUACCAGAUGAAUAAGCACCGGCUAACUCCGUGCCAGCAGCCGCGGUAAUACGGAGGGUGCAAGCGUUAUCCGGAUUCACUGGGUUUAAAGGGUGCGUAGGCGGAUCUGUAAGUCAGUGGUGAAAUCUCCAGGCUUAACCUGGAAACUGCCGUUGAUACUACGGGUCUUGAAUGUUGUGGAGGUUAGCGGAAUAUGUCAUGUAGCGGUGAAAUGCAUAGAUAUGACAUAGAACACCAAUUGCGAAGGCAGCUGGCUACACAAAUAUUGACGCUGAGGCACGAAAGCGUGGGGAGCAAACAGGAUUAGA